UACAGAGGGUGCGAGCGUUGUCCGGAAUCACUGGGCGUAAAGGGCGCGUAGGUGGCGCGACAAGUCAGUGGUGAAAGUUCGACGCUCAACGUCGAAUCGGCCACUGAUACUGUUGGGCUUGAGCACUGUAGAGGCUAAUGGAAUUCCGGGUGUAGCGGUGGAAUGCGUAGAGAUCCGGAAGAACACCGGUGGCGAGGCGGU
rnacentral:rRNA from 1 species